rnacentral:rRNA from 1 species
AUUGAUCGCGGGCGGAAUGCUUUACACAUGCAAGUCGAACGGCAGAACGGGGCAACGUGGAGGCGAGUGGCGAACGGGUGAGUAAUGCAUCGGAACGUGCCCAGCCGUGGGGGAUAACGCAGCGAAAGCUCGGCUCAUACCGCGUCCGAUCUAUGGAUGAAAGGGGGGGACCGUAAGGCCUCGCGCGAUUGGAGCGGCCAUUAUCAGAUUAGGGAGUUUGUGGGGUAAAGGCUCACUAAGCCAACCAUCUGUAGCUGGUCUGAGAGGACGACCAGCCACACUGGAACUGAGACACGGUCCAGAGUCCUACGGGAGGCAGCAGUGGGGAAUUUUGGACAAUGGACGCAAGUCUGAUCCAGCCAUUCCGCGUGCAGGAUGAAGGCCCUCGGGUUGUAAACUGCUUUUGUACGGAACGAAAAGGUCUCUCUUAAUUCGGGGGGCUCAUGACGGUACCGUAAGAAUAAGCACCGGCUAACUACGUGCCAGCCGCCGCUGUAACAC